AACGAACGCUGGCGGCAGGCUUAACACAUGCAAGUCGAACGCCCCGCAAGGGGAGUGGCAGACGGGUGAGUAACGCGUGGGAAUCUACCCAGUUCUACGGAACAACAGUUGGAAACGACUGCUAAUACCGUAUACGCCCUACGGGGGAAAGAUUUAUCGGAAUUGGAUGAGCCCGCGUAAGAUUAGCUAGUUGGUGGGGUAAUGGCCUACCAAGGCGACGAUCUUUAGCUGGUCUGAGAGGAUGAUCAGCCACGCUGGGACUGAGACACGGCCCAGACUCCUACGGGAGGCAGCAGUGGGGAAUAUUGGACAAUGGGCGCAAGCCUGAUCCAGCCAUGCCACGUGAGUGAUGAAGGCCUUAGGGUUGUAAAGCUCUUUCACCGAUGAAGAUAAUGACGGUAGUCGGAGAAGAAGCCCCGGCUAACUUCGUGCCAGCAGCCGCGGUAAUAC
rnacentral:rRNA from 1 species